CCUACGGGUGGCUGCAGUCGAGAAUCUUCCACAAUGGACGAAAGUCUGAUGGAGCGACGCCGCGUGAUCGAUGAAGUGCUUCGGUAUGUAAAGAUCUUUUAUGAGGGAAGAAGUUUAUUGACGGUACCUCAUGAAUAAGGGCCUGCAAAACUCGUGCCAGCAGCAGCGGUAAUACGAGUGGCCCAAGCGUUAUCCGGAAUUAUUGGGCGUAAAGGAUGUGUAGGUGGUUGUAUUAGUCGAAUGUCUAACCUCUCGGGCUCAACCUGGAAUCAGCAUUCGAAACGGUACGACUAGAGUAUGUUAGGGGUAAGCGGAACUCAUAGUGUAGGGGUGAAAUCCGUUGAUAUUAUGGGGAACACCAAAAGCGAAGGCAGCUUACUGGGACAUUACUGACACUGAAACAUGAAAGCGUGGGUAGCGAAUGGGAUUAGAUACCCUAGUAGUC
rnacentral:rRNA from 1 species